rnacentral:rRNA from 1 species
UGCCAGCAGCCGCGGUAAUACGGAGGGUGCGAGCGUUAAUCGGAAUUACUGGGCGUAAAGCGUGCGUAGGCGGCUAUUUAAGUCAGAUGUGAAAGCCCCGGGCUCAACCUGGGAACUGCAUUUGAUACUGGAUAGCUAGAGUGUGGUAGAGGAAGGUAGAAUUCCUAGUGUAGCGGUGAAAUGCGUAGAUAUUAGGAGGAAUACCAGUGGCGAAGGCGGCCUUCUGGACCAACACUGACGCUGAGGUACGAAAGCGUGGGGAGCAAACAGGAUUAGAUA